UACGGAGGGGGCUAGCGUUGUUCGGAAUUACUGGGCGUAAAGCGCGCGUAGGCGGCUUUGUAAGUUAGAGGUGAAAGCCCAGGGCUCAACCCUGGAAUUGCCUUUAAGACUGCAUCGCUUGAACAUCGGAGAGGUAAGUGGAAUUCCGAGUGUAGAGGUGAAAUUCGUAGAUAUUCGGAAGAACACCAGUGGCGAAGGCGACUUACUGGACGAUUGUUGACGCUGAGGUGCGCAAGCGUGGGGAGCAAACAGG
rnacentral:rRNA from 1 species